UACGAACUGCGCAAACGUUAUUCGGAUUCACUGGGCGUAAAGGGUGCGCAGGCGGUCGUGUGUGUUAGAUGUGAAAGCCCGGGGCUCAACCUCGGAAUUGCGUUUAAAACUACACGACUAGAGCAUUGGAGAGGGAAGCGGAAUUCAUGGUGUAGCAGUGAAAUGCGUAGAUAUCAUGAGGAACACCAGAGGCGAAGGCG
rnacentral:rRNA from 1 species